CUUGCUGGAUAGUAGUGUCUGCGGAUAGUUUUAACCGAUCAUCUAUCGGAGAAACCGUCUAUCGGAGAAACCGUUGUUCAUCCAUUGUUGACCUCUCUAAUGCAAUCUGCUCAGGCAACAAACAACCAUAAACGCUUUUCCCAUUCUGAGGUUCCAUUAUGGUGAUCUCGGUUUUAGAGUCCACUUCUCCAUUCACCGUGUCACUACCAAUCUCAGCCACCACCGUCGAAGAGUUUUAUAGAAACUGGAAUUAAUCACUUGCUUUUAGUAAUGUGGCCCAUUGGUUACUCAAGCUUUUAGAAAGAAAUUUCAAAUGUAAUCAGCCUUGAGGGUUUCCAUGGAGACCUCUUUAAAGUCGCAGAUUACAGAUGUAGGGAGGCUGAUGAAAAUCAAAGAGUGGUUUGAUAGAUAUAAAAUAAGUUGACUGGGAGUUUGAGGAAGAUAAUGAUGAAAUGCUUUUAGUUUUGGGGAACAACUAGAAAGGAAGGAGAUGAAAGCUUCUUCAGAAUCUUUAGCGACUCAGGACUCUUCGGCUAUCGGUUAAUCGUUGUUUCGGUACCGCCAGAAUGCUAUAAACUCACUUUUGGUCGUGUGGAGGGAAACAAGCUUCAGGAAUUACAAUCUGAGAGGACACAAGAGCAUAACUCAAGUUAUGAAAUAUAUGUGAGAAUUCAACUAUGGGUAGAAACAAAUGAAUUCUGCCCAGAUGGCGAUAUCCCCAUUAGAAGAACUACCAAAAAAAUAUUUUACACACGAAUUCACUAAAAAGAUCAGAUGUAUAUGGCGUGAUAAUGGUGGUCGUGAGGUGGAGUGGUUUGGGUAAUGGGUCAACACAUGCUCGGGUCUAAAACAAUACUUUUUAAUGCAUGUGGAAAUGGACGAGCCGGAAUGGUUUGUGUGGAAGCAUGUUUUAUCCAUGAAGAGUCAAACCCCAGCAACCUGGUUCUAUUCCAGCUCGUGAUUUUUUCAAUGUACAAAUUGAAACUGGAAAAUUGGACAAAUGCGUAAGCUAAUACAACCAUAAGCUGUGUGGUACGAGUUAACAAAAGCAACCUAUUGUUUCUGGAUUCAUCAUUGAGAUUUGGACAAACAACACCUGUCUUUGCAUACUGUGUAAUGGCACAUGGCACCAUGGAAGAAAAAGAUUUAUAAGCGUCAGGUAUAUCCUAUCUAUGUAGAGUUUUCAAUAUCGACCCAUUCACAUAUGCAUAUUGAAUCGGUUAUUUCAGGUUAUGUUGUAUCGUUUACGGGUCAAAUAUGCAAAUAAAAAACAAUUAGCUUAAGGGGAGAAAUUUGCUUGAAGUGUAUUUCAAAUACAUCAAACAACCUAUUCAUGUUAAUGAAAAUCUAGAUAUUGAAUAUG